rnacentral:rRNA from 1 species
UACAGAGGGUGCGAGCGUUGUCCGGAAUCACUGGGCGUAAAGGGCGCGUAGGUGGCGACCCAAGUCCAUGGUGAAAGCUCGAUGCUCAACAUCGAGUCGGCCACGGAUACUGGGUUGCUGGAGCACUGUAGAGGCAGAUGGAAUUCCGGGUGUAGCGGUGGAAUGCGUAGAGAUCCGGAAGAACACCGGUGGCGAAGGCGGUCUGCUGGGCAGUAGCUGACACUGAUGCGCGACAGCGUGGGGAGCAAACAGG